UACGUAGGGGGCAAGCGUUGUCCGGAAUCAUUGGGCGUAAAGAGCGUGUAGGCGGCCAGAUAAGUCCGCUGUGAAAUCUCGAGGCUCAACUUCGAGCUGUCGGUGGAAACUGUCUGGCUAGAGUCCGGAAGAGGAGAAUGGAAUUCCUGGUGUAGCGGUGAAAUGCGCAGAUAUCAGGAAGAACACCCGUGGCGAGGGCGGUUCUCUGGGACGGUACUGACGCUGAGACGCGAAAGCGUGGGGAGCGAACAGG
rnacentral:rRNA from 1 species